GAUGAACGCUGGCUACAGGCUUAACACAUGCAAGUCGAGGGGAAACGACGGGGAAGCUUGCUUCCCCGGGCGUCGACCGGCGCACGGGUGAGUAACGCGUAUCCAACCUGCCUCUGACUGAGGGAUAACCCGUCGAAAGUCGGCCUAAUACGUCAUGGUAUCGUCUGCGGGCAUCCAACGACGAUUAAAGAUUUCAUCGGUCAGGGAUGGGGAUGCGUCUGAUUAGCUUGUUGGCGGGGUAACGGCCCACCAAGGCUACGAUCAGUAGGGGUUCUGAGAGGAAGGUCCCCCACAUUGGAACUGAGACACGGUCCAAACUCCUACGGGAGGCAGCAGUGAGGAAUAUUGGUCAAUGGGCGAGAGCCUGAACCAGCCAAGUAGCGUGCAGGAAGACGGCCCUAUGGGUUGUAAACUGCUUUUAUGCGGGGAUAAAGUGAGGGACGUGUCCCUCAUUGCAGGUACCGCAUGAAUAAGGACCGGCUAAUUCCGUG
rnacentral:rRNA from 1 species